GGAGAAGUCGUAACAAGGUUUCCGUAGGUGAACCUGCGGAAGGAUCAUUGUCGUGACCCUGACCAAAACAGACCGAGCACGCGUUAUCUAUUCCUGCUGAGUGGCGGCACCGUCGUCGCUCAGCCAAAUCCUCGAUAACCUCCUCUCCUCGGAGUGGGGGCUUGGGGUAAAAGAACCCACGGCGCCGAAGGCGUCAAGGAACACUGUGCCUAGCUUGGGGACACGACUGGCUUGCUGGCCGCUCCCCUUGCUGCAAAGCUAUUUAAUCCACACGACUCUCGGCAACGGAUAUCUCGGCUCUCGCAUCGAUGAAGAACGUAGCGAAAUGCGAUACCUGGUGUGAAUUGCAGAAUCCCGCGAACCAUCGAGUCUUUGAACGCAAGUUGCGCCCGAGGCCAUUCGGCCGAGGGCACGCCUGCCUGGGCGUCACGCUAAACACGCUCCCAACCCCUUACGGGGGAACAGGAUGCGGCAUUUGGCUCCCCGUCACCCAAGGGCGGUGGGCCGAAGAUAUGGCUGCCGGCGCAUCGUGUCGGACACAGCGCGUGGUGAGCGUCCUCGCUAUACUUACCGCAGUGUCUCCGACACAUAGCCGGCGUGAUGGCCUAGAAUGACCCUUGUAACGGUGCGCAUGACGCUCCGACCGCGACCCCAGGUCAGGCGGGACUACCCGCUGAAUUUAAG
rnacentral:rRNA from 1 species